rnacentral:rRNA from 1 species
AGUGAACGCUGGCGGCAGGCCUAACACAUGCAAGUCGAACGGCAGCACAGUAUGAGCUUGCUCCUACGGGUGGCGAGUGGCGGACUGGUUCGGAAUACAUCGGAAUCUACUUUUUCGUGGGGGGUAACGUAGGGUAACUUACGCUAAUACCGCAUACGGACUACGGGUGAAAGCAGGGGAUCUUCGGAACUUGCGCGAUUGAAUGAGCCGAUGUCGGAGUAGCUAGUUGGCGGGGUAAAGGCGCCCCAAGGGGACGAUCCGUAGCUGUUCGGAGGGGACGAUCGGCAACACGGGAACUGGGACACGGCCCAGACUCCAAGGGAAGGCAGCGGGGGGAAAUAUGGGACAAGGGGCGCAAGCCUGAUCCAGCCAGACCGCGGGGGUGAAGAAGGCCUUCGGGUGGUAAAGCCCUUUUGUUGGGAAAGAAAGGCAGCAGGUUAAAACCCCGCUGUUCUGACGGUACCCAAAGAAUAAGCACCGGCUAACAUGUU